GGAGAAUGGAGAGAGAACAUGAGAAUCCGAGUAUUCCCCCUUUAGUAGCAUGUUCCAGAACUACUGCAAGCCAAAACGAUGGGGAAGAGGAGAAAAACCACUAGAAUGCUUCUGGAGAUCUCUGGGUUCCACAGGUGCUAGCUGGAG